GAUGAACGCUGGCGGCGUGCCUAAUACAUGCCAGUCGAGCGAACAGACGAGGAGCUUGCUCCUUUGACUUUAGCGUCGGACGGGUGAGUAACACGUGGAUAACCUUCCUAUAAGACUGGGAUAACUUCGGGAAACCGUAGCUAAUACCGGAUAACAUGUUUAACCGCAUGGUUCAACAGUUAAAGACGUUCUUGCUGUCACUUAUAGAUUGAUCCGCGCCGCAUUAGCUAGUUGGUAAGGUAACGGCUUACCAAGGCAACGAUGCGUAGCCGACCUGAGAGGGUGAUCGGCCAAACUGGAACUGAGAAACGGUCCAGACUCCUACGGGAGGCAGCAGUAGGGAAUCUUCCGCAAUGGGCGAAAGCCUGACGGAGCAACGCCGCGUGAGUGAAGAAGGUCUUCGGAUCGUAAAACUCUGUUAUUAGGGAAGAACAAAUGUGUAAGUAACUAUGCACGUCUUGACGGUACCUAAGCAGAAAGCCACGGCUAACUACGU
rnacentral:rRNA from 1 species